rnacentral:rRNA from 1 species
UGGGGAAUAUUGCACAAUGGGCGCAAGCCUGAUGCAGCCAUGCCGCGUGUAUGAAGAAGGCCUUCGGGUUGUAAAGUACUUUCAGUCGGGAGGAAGGUGGUAAGGUUAAUAACCUUAUCAAUUGACGUUACCGACAGAAGAAGCACCGGCUAACUCCGUGCCAGCAGCUGCGGUAAUACGGAGGGUGCAAGCGUUAAUCGGAAUUACUGGGCGUAAAGCGCACGCAGGCGGUUGAUUGAGUCAGAUGUGAAAUCCCCGGGCUUAACCCGGGAAUUGCAUCUGAUACUGGUCAGCUAGAGUCGUGUAGAGGGGGGUAGAAUUCCAUGUGUAGCGGUGAAAUGCGUAGAGAUGUGGAGGAAGACCGGUAGCGAAGGCGGCCCCCUAGACAAAGACUGACGCUCAGGUGCGAAAGCGUGGGGAGCAAACAGG